GCGGCGGCGUCGGAGGGCUCGCCAGGAGGUUCGACUCCCGCACG
rnacentral:tRNA from 11 species